rnacentral:rRNA from 1 species
AUUGAACGCUGGCGGAAUGCUUUACACAUGCAAGUCGAACGGCAGCACGGACUUCGGUCUGGUGGCGAGUGGCGAACGGGUGAGUAAUGUAUCGGAACGUGCCCAGUCGUGGGGGAUAACGUAGUGAAAAUUACGCCAAUACCGCAUACGAUCUAUGGAUGAAAGCGGGGGAUCGCAAGACCUCGCGCGAUUGGAGCGGCCGAUAUCAGAUUAGGUAGUUGGUGGAGUAAAGGCCCACCAAGCCAACGAUCUGUAGCUGGUCUGAGAGGACGACCAGCCACACUGGAACUGAGACACGGUCCAGACUCCUACGGGAGGCAGCAAUGGGGAAUUGUGGACAAUGGGCGAAAGCCUGAUCCAGCCAUUCCGCGUGCAGGAUGAAGGCCCUCGGGUUGUAAACUGCUUUUGUACAGAACGAAAAGGUUUCUACUAAUACUAGGAGCUCAUGACGGUACUGUAAGAAUAAGCACCGGCUAACUACGUGCCAGCAGCCGCCGUAA